UACGUAGGGAGCAAGCGUUGUUCGGAUUUACUGGGCGUAAAGGGCGCGUAGGCGGCGCGGUAAGUCACUUGUGAAAUCUCUGAGCUUAACUCAGAACGGCCAAGUGAUACUGCAGUGCUAGAGUGCAGAAGGGGCAAUCGGAAUUCUUGGUGUAGCGGUGAAAUGCGUAGAUAUCAAGAGGAACACCUGAGGUGAAGACGGGUUGCUAGGCUGACACUGACGCUGAGGCGCGAAAGCUAGGGGAGCAAACGGGG
rnacentral:rRNA from 1 species